rnacentral:tRNA from 1 species
GCCUCAUUGGCUCAGGGUCGGAGCGUCUGUCUAGUAAGCAGAAGUUCGGCGGUUCGAUUCCGGCAUGAGCA